GUAAAAUGUAUGAUUUGUGCAGGGGUGGCCUUUGCUUUUCAAAACUGAAGCAAGCAACCAAGAGUGCCAAACAUGAAUUGGGAACCCAAAGCAACUCGUACCUCUGGACUAAACAGACUCCUUUCUCAGCUUGAAUGGUUGAUGUAAUUUCUGCAGUUCAGACUUGCAAACAUCCGUUCGGUCUUGUGCGCUGCAAUCGGCUUUGAGAGAAGGGAAACAAGUGCAUUGUAACAUAGUUAAAAAUGGGUUUAAGUCUGAUGUAUUUGUUCAGAGCUCUUUGGUGAGUAUGUAUACACAGAAUGGUGAAACUUUGAAUUCAGAGCUUGUUUUUAACGAAAUGGUUGUGAGGAACAUAGUUUCCUAGACCGCGAUGAUAGCAGGAUAUGUGAAAAAUGGGUUGUAUAGAGAAGGGUUGAGUGUUUUCGAGACUUGGUGGCUUCAGGUUCCCAACCAAAUGUGGUUACACUGGUCAGCAUCCUCCCUGCUUGUGCUAGUUUAGAAUUUUUGGAUUUAGGAAAACUGAUUCACUGUCAUGGAAUUAAAGUUGGAGUUGACUCAGAUAUGUCAUUCAUGAAUGCUUUGAUUGCAUUUUAUGGUAAGUGUCGGAAUCUUGAGACAGCAAGAUCUUUAUUUGAUGGGAUGGCAGUAAGAAACCUGGUCUCGUGGAAUGCAAUGAUUGCUGCUUAUGAACAGAAUAAUGCAGGGACGGAGGCAAUAAAGCUCUUUCGUAGGAUGCAAAAUGAAAAUGUGGACUAUGACUAUAUCACAAUAGUCAGUGUAAUUUCAGCCUGUGCUAGCUUGGGUGCAUUGAACACUGGGAAAUGGUUGCAUGAGCUUGUCAAAAGGAAAGGCUUUGGAACCAAUGUUUCAGUCACAAAGGCACUCAUUGACAUGUAUGCAAAGUGUGGGAAUAUUGAUCUGGCCAAGAAUGUUUUUCAGAAAUUGCCUCAUAGAAGUGUUGUGUCCUGGACAUCUAUAAUAGGGGCUUGUGCAUCUCAUGGUCAUGGAGAUGAUGCUCUCAUGCUUUUCUCAAUGAGGAAAGACCAGGGCAUUAAGCCAAAUAGUUUCACUUUUACCGCUGUUUUGACCGCUUGUAGGCACUCAGGUCUAGUAGAUGAAGGAAGAAAGCAUUUUGAGAGCAUGAUUAAAGACUACUCCCUUGUCCCUGGUGUAGAGCACUAUGCUUGUGUAGUUGAUCUUCUUGGUCGAGCUGGUUGUUUGUUAGAAGCUUAUAAGUUUAUUCAGAGGAUGCCGGUUGAGCCAGACAUUGGUGUCUGGGGAGCUUUACUUAGUGCUUGCAGGAUAUAAGGCAAUGAUGAGCUAGCUGAACUUGUGGCAGCUCAUUUGUCCAAGUUAGAUCCUCAAACUACUACCCUCUAUUUUCUCAUGUUAAUUAUAUAUGCGGAAGCUGGUAGAUGGGAAGACGAAGCUAGGUUGAGAAACUUGAUGACUGAUUUGACAGAAGGAGUUGAAAAAAUUACCAGGGCAAAGUUUUGUUGAGGUGAAUCAAAGUUUGUUUACAUGUUUAUCAGGUUCAAGAUCCCAACUAGAAUUCCCACCAAUGCUGGCCUCAUGCUAAAUACUCCUCUGGCCUCUAUCUUCCUGAUUCCUCUUUGCAUCAGUUUCAUUAGCUACAUCUGCCAUUCUUACUCAAAGCUCACUAGUAUGAUCUGCUAGAUAUGGAUAAUGAUAUUUGUGAGACCCGGCCUAGGACACCAUGACAUAAUGCAUGACUCUAUAAGAGCCUUGCUGUCUCAGGCAUGCCACUGAGUGGCAGUGGUGGUGGCUUUCACUGUUGGGUUUAUUGAGAUCAAACCAGGCGAACAAACCUUACUGUCUCGGGCUUAACACAGAUCGAGUGGCAGUAGUGUGGCUUUUCGCUGUUGGGUUUCCUUGGGAUUAAACCAGAUGUGGAUUUGCCGUGGGCUGAGGUGAACUCUUCACCUUAACUGUGCAUAUUGCAUACUGGGCUGAACAAGACCAGACGAGGCAGCUUUGUUUCAAAAUCUACACCCAUGCGAUCUAUGUUUGUAAGCUACUGAAAAAGUUGCCAUCAGAUUUGAAGUUAAUAUUUGGUCCUCCCCUUCUGAAAAAAGCUGGUUUUGCAUGGUCUUACAUGAAGCUUUUUGCAAUUAACUUGUUGAAAGAAGCAGUCAAAGGAUGUCAACAAGUCUUGUGUAGGCUUAGUUUUGUAUCUUGGUUUGUUACACAUCGAAUUUUGGUUUCGGAUUACAGUUGCAAUGGUGGAAUAAUUGAUCAUGUUAUUUUACCUUUGAUGCAGACCAAGUCGGAUGGUCCAAUUUUUGUGCUGCAUGGGUUACGCGUCUGAUUUGAUACGUUCUUUCAGUACAUCAUAAGGGCGGCAAUUCCAGGCUCCUAUGCGAACUGAAAUGCCUGAUGUCAUGUGAAAUAUUGUAUGAAAUACAUUAUUUGUACUAUUAUGGAUAUCUUUAUCAUCAAAACCAAGAACAAUCACUUUUUUCUUGUUUUGGCAAUUAGCCCAGAUAUAAGAACUGAUUCUUGGUGAA